GGCCCAUCUGACACCUGCCGGGUCACCGGCCGGCCCGUGUGCGGACGGGGCCCUCCGUGCCCUCGGCAAGCAGCGCUGGGCUGUUGUCCCCUCCUGGCCUGGAAGGGUUCGGGCGUAGGAACAAGAGAGCUCAGGAACAGCAGUCCUUGGAGAAACGGAGAGCAGAGGGCAGUGGAAGGGAUGUCACCAUCUUCCCAGCAACAGGCACAAACUUGAUAGAAUUA